rnacentral:lncRNA from 1 species
GGGGAAUGAAACUAGACCUCUAUUUCUCACCUCAUACAAAAAUCAAAUCAAAAUGGAUUAAAGAUUUAAAUCUGAGCCACUGUGCCUGGCCUCAAACAAUUUAACUCAUGAAGAUAUAGAGUAGGAGAAUUGUUAGCAGAGGCUGGUAAAAGUAGUAUGGGGGAUAAGGAGUAAAAUGGUUAAUAGGUACACACAUGUAGUUAGAAAGAAAAAAUAAGAUCUAGUAUUUGAUAGCA